UACGGGGGGGGCUAGCGUUGUUCGGAAUUACUGGGCGUAAAGGGCGCGUAGGCGGCUUUGUAAGUCGGGGGUGAAAGCCUGUGGCUCAACCACAGAAUUGCCUUCGAUACUGCAUGGCUUGAGACCGGAAGAGGUAAGUGGAACUGCGAGUGUAGAGGUGAAAUUCGUAGAUAUUCGCAAGAACACCAGUGGCGAAGGCGGCUUACUGGUCCGGUUCUGACGCUGAGGCGCGAAAGCGUGGGGAGCAAACAGG
rnacentral:rRNA from 1 species